GCAGGUGGGUAGGAGUUAGGAGUAGGUCUGAUGGCAGGUGGGUAGGAGUUAGGAGUAGGUCUGAUGGCAGGUGGGUAGGAGUAGGUCUGAUGGCAGGUGGGUAGGAGUUAGGAGUAGGUCUGAUGGCAGGUGGGUAGGAGUUAGGAGUAGGUCUGAUGGCAGGUGGGUAGGAGUUAGGAGUAGGUCUGAUGGCAGGUGGGUAGGAGUAGGUCUGAUGGCAGGUGGGUAGGAGUUAGGAGUAGGUCUGAUGGCAGGUGGGUAGGAGUAGGUCUGAUGGCAGGUGGGUAGGAGUUAGGAGUAGGUCUGAUGGCAGGUGGGUAGGAGUUAGGAGUAGGUCUGAUGGCAGGUGGGUAGGAGUAGGUCUGAUGGCAGGUGGGUAGGAGUUAGGAGUAGGUCUGAUGGCAGGUGGGUAGGAGUAGGUCUGAUGGCAGGUGGGUAGGAGUUAGGAGUAGGUCUGAUGGCAGGUGGGUAGGAGUUAGGAGUAGGUCUGAUGGCAGGUGGGUAGGAGUUAGGAGUAGGUCUGAUGGCAGGUGGGUAGGAGUUAGGAGUAGGUCUGAUGGCAGGUGGGUAGGAGUUAGGAGUAGGUCUGAUGGCAGGUGGGUAGGAGUUAGGAGUAGGUCUGAUGGCAGGUGGGUAGGAGUUAGGAGUAGGUCUGAUGGCAGGUGGGUAGGAGUUAGGAGUAGGUCUGAUGGAAGGUGGGUAGGAGUUAGGAGUAGGUCUGAUGGCAGGUGGGUAGGAGUUAGGAGUAGGUCUGAUGGCAGGUGGGUAGGAGUUAGGAGUAGGUCUGAUGGCAGGUGGGUAGGAGUAGGUCUGAUGGCAGGUGGGUAGGAGUUAGGAGUAGGUCUGAUGGCAGGUGGGUAGGAGUUAGGAGUAGGUCUGAUGGAAGGUGGGUAGGAGUUAGGAGUAGGUCUGAUGGCAGGUGGGUAGGAGUUAGGAGUAGGUCUGAUGGCAGGUGGGUAGGAGUUAGGAGUAGGUCUGAUGGCAGGUGGGUAGGAGUAGGUCUGAUGGCAGGUGGGUAGGAGUUAGGAGUAGGUCUGAUGGCAGGUGGGUAGGAGUAGGUCUGAUGGCAGGUGGGUAGGAGUUAGGAGUAGGUCUGAUGGCAGGUGGGUAGGAGUAGGUCUGAUGGCAGGUGGGUAGGAGUUAGGAGUAGAUCUGAUGGCAGGUGGGUAGGAGUAGGUCUGAUGGCAGGUGGGUAGGAGUUAGGAGUAGGUCUGAUGGCAGGUGGGUAGGAGUUAGGAGUAGGUCUGAUGGCAGGUGGGUAGGAGUUAGGAGUAGGUCUGAUGGCAGGUGGGUAGGAGUUAGAGUAGGUCUGAUGGCAGGUGGGUAGGAGUUAGGAGUAGGUCUGAUGGCAGGUGGGUAGGAGUAGGUCUGAUGGCAGGUGGGUAGGAGUUAGGAGUAGGUCUGAUGGCAGGUGGGUAGGAGUAGGUCUGAUGGCAGGUGGGUAGGAGUUAGGAGUAGGUCUGAUGGCAGGUGGGUAGGAGUAGGUCUGAUGGCAGGUGGGUCGGAGUUAGGAGUAGGUCUGAUGGCAGGUGGGUAGGAGUAGGUCUGAUGGCAGGUGGGUAGGAGUUAGGAGUAGAUCUGAUGGCAGGUGGGUAGGAGUAGGUCUGAUGGCAGGUGGGUAGGAGUUAGGAGUAGGUCUGAUGGCAGGUGGGUAGGAGUUAGGAGUAGGUCUGAUGGCAGGUGGGUAGGAGUUAGGAGUAGGUCUGAUGGCAGGUGGGUAGGAGUUAGGAGUAGGUCUGAUGGCAGGUGGGUAGGAGUUAGGAGUAGGUCUGAUGGCAGGUGGGUAGGAGUUAGGAGUAGGUCUGAUGGCAGGUGGGUAGGAGUUAGGAGUAGGUCUGAUGGCAGGUGGGUAGGAGUUAGGAGUAGGUCUUAUGGCAGGUGGGUAGGAGUUAGGAGUAGGUCUGAUGGCAGGUGGGUAGGAGUAGGUCUGAUGGCAGGUGGGUAGGAGUUAGGAGUAGGUCUGAUGGCAGGUGGGUAGGAGUUAGGAGUAGGUCUGAUGGCAGGUGGGUAGGAGUAGGUCUGAUGGCAGGUGGGUAGGAAUUAGGAGUAGGUCUGAUGGCAGGUGGGUAGGAGUAGGUCUGAUGGCAGGUGGGUAGGAGUUAGGAGUAGGUCUGAUGGCAGGUGGGUAGGAGUAGGUCUGAUGGCAGGUGGGUCGGAGUUAGGAGUAGGUCUGAUGGCAGGUGGGUAGGAGUAGGUCUGAUGGCAGGUGGGUAGGAGUUAGGAGUAGGUCUGAUGGCAGGUGGGUAGGAGUUAGGAGUAGGUCUGAUGGCAGGUGGGUAGGAGUUAGGAGUAGGUCUGAUGGCAGGUGGGUAGGAGUAGGUCUGAUGGCAGGUGGGUCGGAGUUAGGAGUAGGUCUGAUGGCAGGUGGGUAGGAGUAGGUCUGAUGGCAGGUGGGUAGGAGUUAGGAGUAGGUCUGAUGGCAGGUG